rnacentral:rRNA from 1 species
UACGGAGGGUGCAAGCGUUAAUCGGAAUUACUGGGCGUAAAGCGUGCGCAGGCGGUUUGUUAAGUCCGUUGUGAAAGCCCCGAGCUCAACUUGGGAAUUGCAGUGGAUACUGGCAGGCUGGAGUACGGUAGAGGAAGGUGGAAUUCCCGGUGUAGCAGUGAAAUGCGUAGAGAUGUGGAGGAACACCAAUGGCGAAGGCAGCCUUCUGGGCCAACACUGACGCUCAUGCACGAAAGCGUGGGGAGCAAACAGG